rnacentral:lncRNA from 1 species
GCCUGUGGCCCAUUGGUUUGUACUUCUGCCUUAUCUCAAGCUCAUUCCUCCUUUCCUCCAUAAAUACGUCUUCCAAACCUCCUACGUCAUAGUGCGGAUGACUCCUUUCCAUCCGGAAGACUUCUGGGAACAAACUGCAUUCUGAGUGCUUCUACACUCUCCAACACAAAGAGGAUGCAAGCUUGAUGCCUUCGCAAUUUGGCCGUCCUUAUAUUCUUAGCUGAAGUUCAGGAGAGACAUGCCAUACACCUUUUGUGCUCUGGAUGGAAGAAACAGAAACCACCAAAAAGAAGCCAUCAGAGUGGCAUUGGCUGCUGGUGGAGCUGGUCAGACCAGUGGACGCUGAUACCUGGAGGAUGCAAAGAUACACAGCUGGGGCAGCCAACUGGAAAUGAACCCAACAGCAGGAGGCCAGAGGAAUAUGCAGGCCUGAAGGAGUCUAGAACAUCGUGGUGGUAGGUAGGUUGAGGCCGAGGCAAGCAGUAGCACACAGCAGGCAGCAUCAAGGAAUGACAAGAGGUACAUGAGUUUCCUAACACCCCACAGAGUUCAGCAACUGGGAAGUCAGCAGGAGGCCAUAUGCUGAGGUUUGAGGAGGGAGCGAGAGUCCCAGGGGCUAGCUAGUCAGUGGACCUCAAAUUUAAGCUUGG